UGCCUGAUGCUGAUCGACGAACGUCAUGCGGUCGCGCGCGGGAUUGCCGCACAGCACGCCGCCGGUGCAUGUCGCCAGCUUCUUGAGCGAGGGCAGAAACUCGCUCUGCACGAAUUCGGUGACCUCGGCGAGGCGCUGCGGGUCGGCGUUGAAUGCGGGAUGAAUAUCGNCGGCGCGCCCGCCGGGGCAGGAGGCGCCAUUCAGCAGCGAUGGGUUCGCGUAUGACGUG
rnacentral:misc_RNA from 1 species